GCGUCUGUAGCUCAGCUGGAUAGAGUACCUGGCUACGAACCAGGCGGUCAGAGGUUCGAAUCCUCUCAGGCGCACCA
rnacentral:tRNA from 1 species